AGGACGUCGUUCCGAGCGCGGCCGCGGCAGAGCCCCGCGUCCUGAGCGACUGGCUCUUCUGUCCAGCGCCGGCGCGCGGGUCCCCGGCCAGGGCUGGGGUCUCGCACCGGCGUCGGUUGUGGCCCGGGCCAGCCGCGACGGGCGCCCCACAGCGCAGUCACACUGCGCAGCCGGGGUGGCCACUGCCCUGCGGGGCCCAGCUCUCCCGCGCACGCCCCUGCCACAUACCGACGCGCUGCCCCUGAAAGGCCUACGACGCCUUUUAAGAGACACAAAAAACCUUGAGCGGAGCCCUCUGACUCUAACGAGAACAUUACAAGAUGUGUCUUACCCGCAAGCAGGACUGGGACCUUCGCCUCCAGCCAGCGCGCAGCUGCCACUCUUUGAUUUGCCUCCCGCUUACUUCUAUACCAUGUUAAGUGCGUGUGAGUGACACAGGAGGGCCACCCGCGGCCUACUAGAAUACGGGCAGCCCUCAGUGGCAGAAGCCAUCCCUCCUUGAGCACAGCUCUACUGCCCAAAACCGCAGGAGAACAACAGGUGUCCCCGGCAAACUGAAACACUUGCCAGCACGUUAUCAAGCACAAGUGGAGAGACAAAACUGGUUUAGCAAAUGCUGUGUGAAGAUUGAAGCAGAACUGUCUGGACUUUUCUGAAGACGGAAGCAUAGUCUUAAAACUAUCUCGCCUGAAACAGUCGACAAGAAAGUAGGAUUUAGCAUAAAGUCCGGGCCCCCGGAUCUGAGGCACCCGUGGACGUGACAGCUUGCACUAGAGAAGUGUUAACAGUCCCUGCAUAUACGACAGCUCCCGCGUCUUCAACAUGGGGCGUCCGCCUCUGGGUCUCGAGUGGCCACUCCCUGCCACCAGCAGGAGGGAGGAGUGGGCACCUGGCCCUUCUGCUUCCCUUGGGCCGCACCAGGCAGCAAAGUGGGCCUAAAAAUGUAACCUUGCGCAGGGCGAUAUGUACCCAGCUUCGAUGCUAUUACUGCAUGCAAAGGUGGCAAUGACAGAUCGUCAGGAACCCGAUCUGCCUUACACUCUUUGGAUUUUUUACUCUUAAACCAAAAUUUCUGUGAAUCCUGAGAGACAUUCACAGCCCUAAAAGGUGGUAGGUUUCACAAGAAACAGCUGGAAGACUUUUGUCACCGUGAGCUACCUGGAAACAAUUGCGGUUCUGUCUCCAGCAGUGAAGAGGCAGGUAAAAGACAGCAUGGGACGUUGUGUGUGCGGCCACAGCCAUGUUGAGUCUAUGAGGAUCUGCUCACACAGCGACGCAGAGAGCUUGCAAUCUGCACGUUCUACAAUAUACAACUGUGGGAAACUUUCACAAUGGUGUGUGCUCAUAGAUAGCGGUAAGAAAGUGAUAGAAAAAAUAUAUGUAAUUGUCUUCAACUUGAGGUAUUUGUGUGAUUUUUAACACAAAGUUCUCUAGGUAUUACACAGGCAUUUUGAGUAUCUGUUUCUUUAAGGCACAAAACAGUGGUCACAGUGCAUUUCAAGAGGGGUGCAAAGUUUCACUCAUGCUUUAGUCCCAAAAUAAAAAUCAAAACAAUAGCCCCUUUGAAUUUCUUUGAGUCUCUUUUUAAUGCUUUGAAAUAGGCUUCUUUCUCAAGUGUUCUCUAAGCCUCCAGAGUGGAUUUCCUCUCCAGAACCAUCUCGCUUUCCAUCCAACCUGAAUACUCACCUCAGAGUGGGAGGGGUGGAAUGGCAAAUCCAGGACAGCCCAGGUCCAGAGUCUGGGAGUGUUCCAGCAAGCCUCGCCCAGGGACAUUGUCCCCACAGAGAAGGUACAGCAGAGAACACCCUCUGAGGAAGCCUCUUGACUGGCCGCUGCACUCCGCCCCUGCCGAGAUUUUGUAGGUGCCCUUCCUAAGCAGCAACCAUGACGACUUGCGCCUGUGAGCUCCCUCUACCUAUAAGGCAAAAGAUAAGUGUUGCACAAACAGGGAACAUGAGGCUUUAAAUUACUGAGAGUUCCAUGACUAGACUUUGCAGAGCAGAGUCUCAAACACUCAACUCCACAAUCAUCAUGACUGUGUUGCCCCCUUCUCUUGGGUGGUCAUCAGGGCUCUGCCCUACCCGUCGCCACCCCCACUCCCUGCUGUGGGGACUUGACCACUCUCUUCUCCUACCCUCUCAUUUGGAAACUUCACCUUCCGCGUCAGAUCCUCUGUGGUUAUGAUUUCCCAGAUACUGCCUCUUCCUCCUGCCAACGCCGUAGUUGCCAGUUGUGUGUGCUUCCAUGCACACAAACAUACAUGCACAUGUUCUUUAGGCUCUGAAGGCACAUGCCACCGCUGUCUAGGGGGAGGGGAGGGAUGGAAGGAUGGAAACAUUGAGGGAUGGUACGUAGAGGAUAUGUAGCUCCAUUUGGGGUGAGGGAGAUGUCCUAAAAUCGACUGCUGAUGUUUGCAUGCCUCUAAGAAUACACCAAAAACCACUGAAUUGUGCAUUUUAAAUGGAUGAAUUGUAUGGCAUGUGGAAUUAUAUUUCAAUAAAAAGAGGAGGUGGAUUAGGGUUUCUAGAAGAUACGACUGAUUCUAUAUCUGAGACAGAGAAAACACAAGGCAAGUCCAGAAUAUUGUUGUCCCAGGAUGCAAUGAGGUGCUCAAAGACUGGCAGAGGUGAGAGAGACGUGGAUUGAAAGAGAUCUCUCUGGCCAAAUCUGGGACAAGGGGAACAUCAAUAGGAAUAAUGCCAGUAAUGGAUAUUAAUGAUUAUAAUUUCCUUUUAAGUCAGUAAACAAUUAACUGAAUGUCUGGCAGUUGGUGUGUGAGACUACAGAUAAGCCAACCAGGGGUUGUGCUAGGAUUACCCAUGGGAUAAGGAAAUCACACUGGAGACAUCCAUGUAAAAUCAUGCUUAGUUUAGUAUGGAUGCAGAGGGUUACAUACAGAAAGAGAUAAAUGCAUAUCGAUGCAAGGACUUACAUGUCCUUGCCCCCAGUUGUGAUGACUCAAAAGCAAUGGUAGCCCAGUAGCAAUGAGCACACUUAGUUCCCAAAUCUUGGUUUCUAAUACCAUCCCUCAGUGAAAGUGCUCCUUGGAGAAAUAGCUGAUUUUAGGACUGGGACAUUAUAGAAAAUAUAUGGAAUGAGCCAGAAGGAUGCUGCAGAAUCAGAAAGUAAGAAAGUGCUAAAAAAAAAAAGAAAAGAAAAGAAAAGAAAACACAGAAUAAAGAAACCCACAAUCAUGGGAGUAUGUCAAAGAGACUCAGUAACCAAGAGAAAGACCUCUCCGGUUGCCAGAUCUGGAACUAGUUGGACAUAAAUAAAGCACUGCAAGAUUAUAACAGAAAGCAGAAAUUAAGUAUCCACAAAUCCCACUGAUAUAAAAUAAAUGAUUGAAUAAAUAAAUGGGAGAGAAGAGACAAAUCUCCCAAGUAGAAGAAUUCGGAAUAACGUACAUAGACA
rnacentral:lncRNA from 1 species